UGGGGAAUAUUGCACAAUGGGCGCAAGCCUGAUGCAGCAACGCCGCGUGAACGUUGAAGGUCUUCGGACCGUAAGGUUCUGUUGCAGGGGAAGAUAAUGACGGUACCCUGUGAGGAAGCCCCGGCUAACUACGUGCCAGCAGCCGCGGUAAUACGUAGGGGGCUAGCGUUAUCCGGAAUUAUUGGGCGUAAAGGGUACGUAGGCGGUUUUUUAAGUCAGGUGUCAAAGCGUGGAGCUUAACUCCAUUAAGCACUUGAAACUGAAAGACUUGAGUGAGGGGGAGAAAAGUGGAAUUCCUAGUGUAGCGGUGAAAUGCGUAGAUAUUAGGAGGAGUACCGGUGGCGAAGGCGACUUUCUGGACUUUUACUGACGCUCAGGUACGAAAGCGUGGGGAGCAAACAGG
rnacentral:rRNA from 1 species